UGUUUUCAAAGGGCUGUAGCAGCAUUACCAGUACCCACAGUGGCCGGAGGGUGGAAGCAGCCCAGUUGUCCACAGACAGGUACUUGGAGUACUCACGGAGUGAUCAGAACCCCCUGGUCUGGCUGGAUGCCCAGAAAGGACGCCUCUUGGCUGUUAGAGUGCCUGCAGAAACACGCUCCCUGCGCCUCCCCCUCUCGGGGCUGCAGCGGCGCAGGCGCCGGCCAAGCCGAUCGCUGAGCGGGAGCAGGCGGCCGUGCUCCCGGCCGUCCCGGGGGAGCAGAUCCUCCUCAGAAUGGCGCUUGGAGCUGCAGGCCAGGUGGGCUCUGGGCCCGGACCCCGAGGGGGCACCGGAUGAGUGCCCUGCUGCAGGACCCUGCCACCCAUGACUCCAGGCCUUCAGCACCCACCCACCGUGGUACAGACACAUAUCAAGUCCAUCUGCAUAUUUCCCAGGUCACCAUCCUGGUCCAUCUGCUGCUGUCUUCUGUCCAGACCACUGGGGUAGCCACCUCACUACCUCAGUCUGGCCCCCUGCCCCAAGCCCCAACUCACCAGGGCAUUCACAAUGGGCUUCCUGAAACACGACCUGGCCUGUCUUCCAUGUCCUCGUGGCCUUCAAAUGACUGCCCUCGCUCACGGCCUUCACACAUGCUAUUCCCUUUGCCAGCAAUACUCUUUCAGCUCCCUUCACCUGCCUAAGUAUGCUCAUUCUUCAAGGCCAGACUUAAAUGCCACUCCUUCUGGGGACACUUUUUCACUCCACGAUUAAUGUAAAGUCAGUCCCACCUUCUUAUGUACCAGAAAUUUAAAUAUUUCAUUGUAGAGCUCCUUAAAGGCACAGACUGCAUGCAUCUGUCUUGUUCCGCAUAGUACACAAAAAUAUUUCUUGAAUGAGCGAGUGAAUAAAUGAGGCAGUCAGAGA